AGAGCCUUUGAGAAGAGGUAGGCGCAAAGUCCAGUGGUAAGCAUCGAUCUGCUACAGAAAUCCUAAGCAUCCAUCUGCUACAGAUAUCCUGCAUCGAUCUGCUACAGAAAUCCUAAGCAUCCAUCUGCUACAGAUAUCCUGGAAAGGGAUUCUGCCAAGAGCUUAACCAUCCAUACGAGGAGGUGACAUGAAAUCAAAAAAAAUUCUCCAACGUCUUAGCACAAAAUAAGCAACAGAAAAGAGCGUCAAGGAAGAGGCGGUGCUCAACAUGUAUGCAAAAAGUGGAAACAACCGUUUAUAUGGUACAUGCAAA